UACGUAGGGUGCGAGCGUUGUCCGGAAUUAUUGGGCGUAAAGAGCUUGUAGGCGGUUUUGUCGCGUCUGCUGUGAAAAUCCGGGGCUCAACCCCGGACUUGCAGUGGGUACGGGCAGACUAGAGUGUGGUAGGGGGAGACUGGAAUUCCUGGUGUAGCGGUGAAAAUACGCAGAUAUCAGGAGGAACACCGAUGGCGAAGGCAGAUCUCUGGGCCGUAACUGACGCUGAGGAGCGAAAGCAUGGGGGAGCGAACAGGG
rnacentral:rRNA from 1 species